rnacentral:rRNA from 1 species
ACAUGCCUACAACAUAGCAUAAAUUCAUUGGAUCCCAUUAGAACUCUAUAGUUAAGCAUGCUCGAGAUAGAGUAGUACUGGGAUGGGUGACCACCUGGGAAGUCUUAGUGUUUUACAUGCU